rnacentral:rRNA from 1 species
CUCAAAGGAAUUGACGGGGGCCCGCACAAGCGGUGGAGCAUGUGGUUUAAUUCGACGCAACGCGAAGAACCUUACCUGGGUUUGACAUCCCUGUCGUAUUCCAUGGAAACAUGGGAGUCAGUUCGGCUGGACAGGUGACAGGUGCUGCAUGGCUGUCGUCAGCUCGUGUCGUGAGAUGUUGGGUUAAGUCCCGCAACGAGCGCAACCCUUGUCCUUAGUUGCCACCAUUCAGUUGGGCACUCUAAGGAGACUGCCGGUGUUAAACCGGAGGAAGGUGGGGAUGACGUCAAGUCCUCAUGGCCCUUAUAUCCAGGGCUACACACGUGCUACAAUGGCCGGUACAAAGGGUCGCAAUACCGCAAGGUGGAGCUAAUCCCAAAAAGCCGGUCUCAGUUCGGAUUGGAGUCUGCAACUCGACUCCAUGAAGUCGGGAUCGCUAGUAAUCGCGUAUCAGCAUGACGCGGUGAAUACGUUCCCGGGCCUU